rnacentral:rRNA from 1 species
GACGAACGCUGGCGGCGUGCUUAACACAUGCAAGUCGAACGGAAAGGCCCUGCUUUUGUGGGGUGCUCGAGUGGCGAACGGGUGAGUAACACGUGAGUAACCUGCCCUUGCCUUUGGGAUAACUUCAGGAAACUGGGGGUAAUCCCGGAUAGGAGCUCCUGCUGCAUGGUGGGGGUUGGAAAGUUUCGGCGGUUGGGGAUGGACUCGCGGCUUAUCAGCUUGUUGGUGUGGUAGUGUCUUACCAAGGCUUUGACGCGUAGCCGGCCUGAGAGGGUGACCUGCCACAUUGGGACUGAGAUACGGCCCAGACUCGUACGGGACGCAGCAGUGGGGAAUAGUGCACAAUGGGCGGAAGGCUGACGCAGCCACGCCGCGUGCGGGAUGAGGGCCUGCGGGUUGGAAUCUGCUUUCGCCUGUGACGAAGCGUGAGUGACGGUAACGGGUAAAGAAGCACCGGCUAACUACGUG